rnacentral:rRNA from 1 species
AUUCCAGCUCCAAUAGCGUAUAUUAAAGUUGUUGCAGUUAAAAAGCUCGUAGUUGGACUUCGGGUGGGCUGCGCCGGUCUCUUAACGGUUGUACUGGCGACGCCUGCCUUGCUGCCGGGGACGGGCUCCUGCCUUUACUGUCGGGACCCGGAAUCGGCGACGUUACUUUGAGUAAAUUAGAGUGUUCAAAGCAAGCCUACGCUCUGAAUAUAAUAGCAUGGGAUAACACGACAGGACUCUGGCCUAUCGUGUUGGUCUGUAGGACCAGAGUAAUGAUUAAGAGGGACAGUCGGGGGCAUUCGUAUUCCGUUGUCAGAGGUGAAAUUCUUGGAUUUACGGAAGACGAACAUCUGCGAAAGCAUUUGCCAAGGAUGUUUUCAUUA